ACGAAGGCUUCAAGCGUUAUCCGGAUUUAUUGGGCGUAAAGGGUCUCCAGACGGUCGUGUUAGUCGGGUGUUAAAUCUCUGGGCUUAACUCAGAGGCAGCAUUCGAAACGGCACGACUAGAGGCAGGGAGAGGCAACUAGAACUCACGGUGUAGGGGUGAAAUCCGUUGAUAUCGUGGGGAAUACCAAAGGCGAAGGCAUGUUGCUGGCCCUGUCCUGACGUUCACAGACGAAAGCGCGGGGAGCGAAUGGGA
rnacentral:rRNA from 1 species